rnacentral:rRNA from 1 species
CCUACGGGAGGCACCAGUGGGGGAUAUUGCACAAUGGGCGCAAGCCUGAUGCAGCCAUGCCGCGUGUAUGAAGAAGGCCUUCGGGUUGUAAAGUACUUUCAGCGGGGAGGAAGGCGAUAAGGUUAAUAACCUUGCCGAUUGACGUUACCCGCAGAAGAAGCACCGCCUAACUCCGUGCCAGCAGCCGCGGUAAUACGGAGGGUGCAAGCGUUAAUCGGAAUUACUGGGCGUAAAGCGCACGCAGGCGGUCUGUCAAGUCGGAUGUGAAAUCCCCGGGCUCAACCUGGGAACUGCAUUCGAAACUGGCAGGCUAGAGUCUUGUAGAGGGGGGUAGAAUUCCAGGUGUAGCGGUGAAAUGCGUAGAGAUCUGGAGGAAUACCGGUGGCGAAGGCGGCCCCCUAGACAAGGACUGACGCUCAGGUGCGAAAGCGUGGGGAGCAAACAGGAUUAGAUACCCCUGUAGUC